rnacentral:lncRNA from 1 species
UCUCUGUGGUCAAACCACCCUGCCAGCCUCCCUGCUGCAGCCGGCAGCACGUCACUCCAUGCGGGAGGGGAGCCCCACCUAAGGGUACCGAGUGAGACCCAGCUGACCUGGAAAAUGACAGGGACACUUUUUAUCCUUCCAACUUAACCUUUCCGUCCUGACUUAACCUUUCCCUCUUUGACACAAAUGAAGAAAUUAGGGCUCUUGACUGCUACUGAUUUAAGGGGAUUACAGAGGCACUGCCAGCGAGCAUGAGCACAAGAGUUUAGCGCCUCUCGGCAGCUGAGAGAGGAUGCUGCAUACUUGGGGCCUGGGACCUCCGAGAAGACCUUCUUCAGCCGAAAGCACACCUUAUUCUUGUCCCAGUUGAAGGCUUCCCAACGGUCUUCAUGUGGCACUUGCUGUGUGCCAGGCCCCACUCUGGGCACUUGGUUUAUUUAAUUCUAACCAUGGUCCUAGGUGAUGGGCGCUGGUAUGACUGUGGGAAAGGGACAAGGUGGGAGAUGUGAACGAACUUCCGGAGCCCUCCCUCGGGCAGCCUAGCUCCCCGCCUCCUCCAACACCUUCUGUUGCUUUUCCAGCACAGCCAGUACUGGGCUCUUGGGUUCGAGCACGGGGCGGGGUGAAGGGUGCUGGGAGGUCACAUUCUUGCUUCCCAGCACUGAAGACUGGAAGAAUGAAUGGCACAGAUGAACAAGGCCGUCCUGCAUCCGCCGCUCACUAGAGGCUUCACAGCUGCGUAGGGACACAGGACAUCUGUACAAUAAAUACCAAUGGUAUUAGUGCCCUAGGGCUGCAGGAACAAAGCACCACAGACUGGGGGUGCUGGAACAGCAGAAACUCAGGCUCUCCCAUUUCUGGAUGCCGGAAGUCCAAAAUCUAGUGUCGGCAGGGCUGUGUCCUCUCUGAGGUUUCCAGGGGAGGAGGCUUCCUUGCUUCUCUGGCUUCUGGUGGUGGCUGGCAAUGCUCGGCAUUCCUUGGCUUAUGGACGCAGCACUGAAAUUGCAGCCCUUAUCUUCAUGUGGCCUUCCUUGUGGCGCUCUGUGUCCAAAUGUCCCUCUCCUCUAAGGACACCAGUCAUCGGAUUAGGCCAGCUCUAAUCCGGUGUGCCUCAUCUUGAUUUAACUAACUACAUCUGCAAAGACACUAUUUCCAGAUUACGUCACGUUCCGAGGUUCCUGGUGGACGUGAAUUUUUGGAAGACGCUGUCCAACCUGGGACACCAGCCAGCCCCUCUCUGGCUCCCUCAGUCCCUCCACCCUUCGGAAGUGGUAAAUGGUGGCUUGCUAACAGCGCCUGUAGCAGCCACCUCCUGGUGAUGGCAAAGGAAGGGCCCUCUCAGUCAUAGGGGCCAAUGGCGAGGAGGACCUGGGACGUGGUGCACUGAGCAUUUUCCCUUCUCAGCAGCUCACUCCUUUGUGUGUCUGUGAUGCGAAGGCUGUGACAUCAGUCAGCCUCAUGGAGAACUGGAACAACGGGCUCUGUGUCUUUGGAGAACGCGUCAAGACCAGGGCCUCUUCCCCUGCUCCCAUGGUUCCCAGCGUUCUUGUCUCCUGAGAGAGGAUGUAGUGGGUGUCAUGUUCAGCAUCGCAACUGGCCUCCGUGGAAACCAGGGUGGAGCUCAGACGGGUGUGGGGGGAGCAUGUGACUGAGCUCCUUCCCACUCUCUCUCCGGCACACACGGAGUCAGUGUAGGGAGGUGAUGGGUAAGGGCUUGAGUUUUGGGGUUGCACAGCUUGUGGGGACCCCACCUCAUUUCCUAGCUAGGCAGACCUGGCCCAGUGUCUGACCUUUCCCAUCUGUAAAUUAGGGGUGCAAAUAGCAUCCACCUCCGGGGUGUGGUGAAGGUGGAGCCAGUACCCAGCCAGUCCAGCUCUUUUUUGUUAGGAUUGCCCCACUGCGGCCACACCCUUCCAUCUGCCCGCUCCUGUUCCCGCAGGUAGACUCAGCCUGUGGGAUUCUGGCCUGGCUUCCCGGCAGCAAGCAGGAGCUUCAGAUGCUCAUUCCCGCCGCGGUCGGCUGUGGCGGCGACUCAUACCCGUUUCCGCUCGAAUGAUGCCAGCUGUCCUGCUGCGCCACCUUCCUCUGUCCUCGCAUCCGCUGAUGGGAUUUCCGGUCGCUUCCACUUUGUGGCUCUUUUGAAGAAUGCCGCUAGGAACAUUCACACGCAGGUUUUUGGUGUGGACGUUCUUGGCCAUAAAAUAUGGCUUUUGGAAAAAUAAAGCUGAGACUUGGAGUUCACGGUGGGGGCUCCCCCAUCUGUGAACAGAAGCAGAAGUUUGGAACUGCCUUCUUUACUGCUCGAGAGGGAAAACUUGAGUGAAAACCAGGAUGCUGGCGAAUGUUGAGUAGCUAAGCUGCACAGGAAAUACCACUUGAUGACCUGCGAUCUGGGGAAGCCGCGCCAGGGCUCUGCGAAGCUGCGGACGAGGGAGGCGUCAGUGUGGGGGCUGCAGCUCAGCUCCGGGGGGGACGCGCCUUUCUCCACGGGACCUGGGGCUCAGGUGCUCACGAGGCUGGGGCGCUGCAGGCCACCCGCAGGGGAAACUGAGGCCCUCCAUUUUGUGGGGCUGGAAGACCUUUCCUUCCAAAAGCAGGUGUAGGCGGGAGCACCUGUGCAGUCCCUCUGUUCAGAUCCUCACCCACUUUUAAAUCAGGAAACAGCAGAUGAAAUGCACAGUGUGAAGGACAAGGAUUCUGCUGAGAGAAUUGCUCCGAGGGUUGCUCAAGUGAUCAUGGGAAAUAAUGCAUCAAACCAUUCUUUAGAUGCAGCUCAGGUGUGCCUUUUCUUCGCCUGUGCCCAUCCACCUGAGAUGGACCAUAACCAUAAAAGUCAGAAGGCACUGACCCUUCAGGACGUGACAGGGUUAAAAGAUGCUGGAGGGAAAGUCUGUCAUUGACUUUUAUUCACUUCCUUUCUCCAUUCUGCCAUUUGGAAGAAGCAUAAAUUGCAGAUGAUAAUUCAAAUUCCUGCAUCAGGUGGAAAGUAGCAGAUUUAAAACACUGCAAAGAAGGGGCUGAGCAGUGAGACGGAUGCUUUGGAACAAUCGAGAAAGUAAGAGCCAGCUGUAAGGUUGCCUGCAGCCAUGGAGCAAUGAAGUGUCAAGGUCAAAGAUCCCCCCAGGUCACGCAGUCCUGCCACUCUCCCUCCCUCUAUGGCCCUGCGCACUUCCAGUGGCAUAGCUAGGGUGGAUGAAGGGGACACCUCUGACCACAUCUCUCUGCCCUCUGACUCAAGUCCUUCCUGCUAUAAUGAAAUCCCCCAUGCUCCCUGAGUUUGGCAUCUACUUAAUCAAAGAAUGUGGAGACUUAGUUCUCAGGAGGGCCGCUACUGAGUGGGUAUGCCACUGGUCAAGAGGGUAACAGGAGACAGAAGACCCAGGAGGAGACUUUGGCCUAAAUGGAUCAGCAACACCACAGAGCAUCCACUCCCCCAGAGCAUCACCCGGAAGGACCAUCCGUUCGGAGACAUCCUGGGAGAACAAGAGGUUUCUUGUCUGACUCUAAAAUUUAUUUUAUCAGUGUAUCUAGGAUUGGGCUGAGUUUAAACAGAAAACCUUUAAAUAAGCACUAUAUGCCUGCUAGACAUAUUAAUGCAAUAAAAGAACCCUGUGUCUUGCUAAACUAAAUUCUCAAAAGUUAACAUUAAAAAAUGAUUCACGG